AUCAUAUCAGUUUUUGAGACAAGUCACCAACACCGUUAAGCUUCAUUUCAUUUUAAAUUCUAAACAAUUCACUUAGAUUGUCAGUAUACUGGUCCACUUAAAUUUUCACACAAAGUUCAAUUGAUCCGAGAUACAAUGUUAAUGUUUUAAGCACUUGAACUUAUCCGUGUGUCCCAUCACUUGAAUAUACUCCCGUAUCCAGAUCCCAAUAUUCAGUCUUACAGUCAUCUUCAGAUGGUGAGUAUACCACAGAUGAUAUCUGUUCAGGGGUUAAAUGCGAGGGCUGUGAGAGCUCAGGUCGAUACUUCCGUAUACGCAGAGAGAUGACGGCUUCGACUUUUCGGUGUGUCCCCUUUAGAGGAUCUUUUUGAUUUCAACAGCAGCGACUAACAAUUUUAUUGUUUCAUCAG
rnacentral:lncRNA from 1 species